GGUAUUGGCAUUGACUUUUCUAGGAAAGAAGGUAGGUCACCAGCUUCAAUUGGAGCAUAUGGGUACGCCAUCCUUACUUCAGCUGCUGGGGGUAAUAGCAUGGGCUUGAAUGCGGCAGCUGCAUUUCCCUCACUAGGGAUCGGAACUGCUGAACUCACUAUACUCUUCUCCUCUGGGCCAGGAAGGGCAAGUCUUGCACUUGCGUAAGCACUAGCAAAGUGUCUGCAUUCAGCUCUCAGUGGGCAUGCAUUACAGUUAGGCUUACUUUUGG
rnacentral:misc_RNA from 1 species